ACGGCGUCGAGCGGCGGACGGGUGAGUAAUGCCUAGGAAAUUGCCCUGAUGUGGGGGAUAACCAUUGGAAACGAUGGCUAAUACCGCAUGAUGCCUACGGGCCAAAGAGGGGGACCUUCGGGCCUCUCGCGUCAGGAUAUGCCUAGGUGGGAUUAGCUAGUUGGUGAGGUAAGGGCUCACCAAGGCGACGAUCCCUAGCUGGUCUGAGAGGAUGAUCAGCCACACUGGAACUGAGACACGGUCCAGACUCCUACGGGAGGCAGCAGUGGGGAAUAUUGCACAAUGGGCGCAAGCCUGAUGCAGCCAUGCCGCGUGUAUGAAGAAGGCCUUCGGGUUGUAAAGUACUUUCAGUCGUGAGGAAGGCGGCGUCGUUAAUAGCGGCGUUGUUUGACGUUAGCGACAGAAGAAGCACCGGCUAACUCCGUGCCAGCAGCCGCGGUAAUACGGAGGGUGCGAGCGUUAAUCGGAAUUACUGGGCGUAAAGCGCAUGCAGGUGGUUUGUUAAGUCAGAUGUGAAAGCCCGGGGCUCAACCUCGGAAUAGCAUUUGAAACUGGCAGACUAGAGUACUGUAGAGGGGGGUAGAAUUUCAGGUGUAGCGGUGAAAUGCGUAGAGAUCUGAAGGAAUACCGGUGGCGAAGGCGGCCCCCUGGACAGAUACUGACACUCAGAUGCGAAAGCGUGGGGAGCAAACAGGAUUAG
rnacentral:rRNA from 1 species